UACGAGGGGGGCAAAUGUUGUUCGGAAUCACUGGGCGUAAAGGGAGCGUAGGCGGGCUUCUAAGUUAGGUGUUUAAUCCCAGGGCCCAACCCUGGUCAGGCACCUAAAACUGGGGGUCUUGAAUAGUGGAGAGGACGAUGGAAUUGGGGGUGUAGCGGUGGAAUGCGUAGAGAUCCCCAAGAACACCAGUUGCGAAGGCGGUCGUCUGGACACAUAUUGACGCUGAGGCUCGAAAGCAUGGGGAGCAAACAGG
rnacentral:rRNA from 1 species